rnacentral:lncRNA from 1 species
UUUUUCAUGGCUCAGCUCCGGGAUGAAGAGCAGAUGUGGAGGAGAGAGAGGUCUGUGGCACCCCUGAGCAGCUCCCUGAGCCCACUGGCAGCUGUUUGGCUGCCAGAUGCUCUGGUUUUAAUGGGGGAAUCACAGCUGCAGCCCUGGGAACGCAGCACUUCGCUCUCCAAUCUCUGCUGCUAGGUCCUGAUGUCUCAUUUUCACUCCGCAGAUUAUUUUCAGCACUGGCACAAAAAAAAAGUUCUAUUUUCUAACUUGGAAAGAUCCAUCCCACCCAGCACUGCAGGCUUUGGAGAAGGUCACAGCCACCAACUUCUUGUCUUCAUCCUGGACUUCAUCCUUCAUGCUGGAGCUGGAGGAAGCUGUGA